GGGUAAGUAUGGUACGACCAGCUCCCGCUGAACUCCCCCAGGAUCGGAAGGUAGCAAGGGUAGGCGGUCGUAGCGGUGCGAUAUCAUACUUGCUCUUU
rnacentral:SRP_RNA from 1 species